CUUUACAUUGGGCUUAACAUAAAUCUUAAUAAACAAUACCCUAGUCUAUAGUUUAUCACAGUGGGUGUACAAACAAUGCUUUAUUGAUUCAUGCAUUUGGGGUCUCCCCUAUCAUUCCCCCUUUUUGUUUUACUAGAAGUGGGUUUUUUAACAAUUUGGUGUGCCCACUCUAUCACUGCUUGACCUGUGUAAUUAACAUAACCACCCACUACUCCAGGCAGCAUUAUUUCAGUAAGAUUAGUCUGAUUUGAAGUCACUUGAACCUUUAUAACAUGUGGCAUACCAGUGAAUCCUACACACCAUUUAACAGGUCGGAAUGGGGGAUUUAACAAAUGUGCCCAGUAUACUUGUCCAUUACCCAUGGUCACACAUAAUAGAACAGAUAUUACAAAGAUUUCUGUCAUUGUCAUUUCUUUUUGUUGUUGAGUUCUGGAGCUUUACACAUUUUGCUGGCAGCCAGUAUGGUUCUGUCGAUAGCUGUAUCCUUGACCCCAUGUCAGCAAUGGCACUGGUCCUUCCCACUCAUUAUCAUGUAGGUCUUUAUAUAGAACCACUGGUUUGGGCAAGGAAUUGUCUGUCAGAUGUCACAAUCGCUGUAUUGUGGAAAGAGAAUCUAAAUUAGACAAAUUUAAAGAAUUUAGUACAAAUUGUGCUUUUGCUAACUGUCCGUGUGGAGAAAAUCCUUGCAUCCUUUUUUUUGUUGUU